rnacentral:tRNA from 1 species
UCUCUGGUGGUCCAGUGGUUGAGACUUGGCACUUGCACUGCCAUGGCCCGGGUUCAAUCCCUGGUCGGGGAA